AUUGAACGCUGGCGGCAUGCCUUACACAUGCAAGUCGAACGGUAACGCGGGGCAACCUGGCGACGAGUGGCGCACGGGUGAGUAAUGCAUCGGAACGUGCCCAGAAGUGGGGGAUAGCCCGGCGAAAGCCGGAUUAAUACCGCAUGAGACCUGAGGGUGAAAGCGGGGGAUCGCAAGACCUCGCGCUUUUGGAGCGGCCGAUGUCAGAUUAGCUAGUUGGUGGGGUAAAGGCCUACCAAGGCGACGAUCUGUAGCUGGUCUGAGAGGACGACCAGCCACACUGGGAAUGAGACACGGCCCAGACUCCUACGGGAGGCAGCAGUGGGGAAUUUUGGACAAUGGGCGCAAGCCUGAUCCAGCCAUGCCGCGUGCGGGAAGAAGGCCUUCGGGUUGUAAACCGCUUUUGUCAGGGAAGAAACGCUCUGGGCUAAUACCCUGGGGUAAUGACGGUACCUGAAGAAUAAGCACCGGCUAACUACGUG
rnacentral:rRNA from 1 species